GGUAAGUUUCAUUGGCAUCACAUUUCCUAAAUCCUUCUAUAUGUGGGUUAAUAAAUAGUAAGCCUGGUUCAUUCACCAAAUUUUACAGCAAGCAGCAUGCUGGUGUUAUCAAUUUAUCCACCACCUGUAUCCUCCUCCGUAUCCUUCUUGAGAAUUCCUAAAUCUGUUGGUUUUAUGGCUGAGUUUUCUUCUCUGUUCUAAUGAGCUUCUCUGUUCAUAGGAUAUGAGAAAUCAUGGUUUAUUAUAUUGCUUACUAUGAUCUUAGCUUUUUUUAUUCACCCAUUUCUUAGUGCUAUUUUAACUGACUCGUUUGAGCAUCGAGUUUGGGCAUGGGAAAACUAUGAGUUUGACCUUUUCAGGUAAUUAGCUAAUUCAGUAUGUUGUGUUACUUCUAUUUGUUACCUGUAAAUUCUUCUUUACACUCGACCGAUACAUUCCACGCGCUCCUUUAUCCGCAAUCAUGUUUUAGUUGUCCAAAUACCAGUUAGUCCAUCCAGAUAACACUAGGUAUGAGCUUUAGUUCCACCAUAUUCUGAAAUUUUCAAUUAGUUUUAUAUCUUUGAUGUGAGGGUUCACUAUUCUAUUCCCAAUUAUAUUCAAUGUGGACUGGUGGAGAGCAUGCAAUUUAGGAUUAGAAACCGCUGAAUUUACUUUGUUUGCGUCUAUCUACUAUUAGUUUGGGAUUGUAAUAUUUAGAUUUUUGUCUAUGGGAUCUUUUGUUUUCUUAUGCAGCUGCUGCUUCUGCAUCUUUGUUCGUGGUCGUCUACACUAAAUUUUGAUAGAGAUGAAUGAACUCUUACUAGAGAUGGAGCAGCACGCCUUGUCAAAUUGCUGUAUCCUGAAAAUGUAUUCAAACAAAUUGCAUUUUCUUUACCAGUUUGAGGUGGUAGUAUUUGUUUUACUUGGUUUUUGUUAGAGUUAACUAGUUGUUGCCUUUUAGCUGAUAAUUAAAGACUUAGCAUCUGGAUUAUAUACAGUUUGUUUCCUUAAAUUUCGUAAUAGUGGGAUACAUCAAUAAUUAUUGGAACAAUUCGCAUUUAGAGAGAGAGAGAGAAACUGCACAAGAAAUCAAAAUUAAAUCUUUUAACGAUGGAUUCUAUAUCAAUCUAUCGUUUGGAUGCAAACAACUCGAAGGCUGUCAUUUCCAAUACCCUUCUGUUCUUCCUCUAUUCCUUUGGCCGAGUUGACAACAUCUAUGUUCCCAACUAGUAGAUUAAUUAGUUUUCAGAUAAGUUUGUUCAUAGAGUUGAUCAAUUAUAAAUCUCACUAACACCUAUUCCUGCUUGUAAAACAAGG
rnacentral:lncRNA from 1 species